UGCUGUGAGAAUAGGAAAUCUCUUAACGCCAAUCAUAGUGCCGCUUCAAGGAUAAAGUUCCGCCUUUCAGGAGAAACAGCCAAUCAGCUUGCUGGUUUUGCGGGCGCGGAGGAGAGCCCACCCCCACCCCCGUGGGGGAGCGCACAUGUGCUCUAGCCAUUUUUGGCAGCAGGUUGCAGGAAGCUGACGGUGAAAGAAAAUGGAUAUACGGCGUUUUUUCAAGGAGAAAGUGGACAUGGGAAUAUUGUUGGGAUACAUAACAUCAAGGACUCCAUGAAGUAGCAGGACAUAUUCAAUGAAAAUAUGGUUGCCUCUACCAAAAAGCUUAAACUGGAUCAUGGUUGGAUCUUCCAGCAGAACAAUUCCAGUCCCCUGACAUAAAACCCUGUGAGAACAUGUGUGAUAAAAGCAGGAGAUCCAGGGGUAAAUGGGCAUAGAGGCUUAUGGUAAACUGAG